GACGAACGCUGGCGGCGUGCUUAACACAUGCAAGUCGAACGGAAAGGCCCUGCUUUUGUGGGGUGCUCGAGUGGCGAACGGGUGAGUAACACGUGAGUAACCUGCCCUUGACUUUGGGAUAACUUCAGGAAACUGGGGCUAAUACCGGAUAUGAGCUCCUGCUGCAUGGUGGGGGUUGGAAAGUUUCGGCGGUUGGGGAUGGACUCGCGGCUUAUCAGCUUGUUGGUGGGGUAGUGGCUUACCAAGGCUUUGACGGGUAGCCGGCCUGAGAGGGUGACCGGCCACAUUGGGACUGAGAUACGGCCCAGACUCCUACGGGAGGCAGCAGUGGGGAAUAUUGCACAAUGGGCGGAAGCCUGAUGCAGCAACGCCGCGUGCGGGAUGACGGCCUUCGGGUUGUAAACCGCUUUCGCAUGUGACGAAGCGUGAGUGACGGUAAUGGGUAAAGAAGCACCGGCUAACUACGUG
rnacentral:rRNA from 1 species